rnacentral:lncRNA from 1 species
AACUCUCUCCACAUUAUUGACUCUAUAGAUCUUGGGUAUUUAUCUCAUUGCUUCAACCAUGUAAUGGGAGCAAAGAGAGGACACACUGAAUAGUGGGGGAUAGAUAGCUUAUCCCUACCUUCCACCAAUUGCCUUACUUGAAGGACUUUUCCUGCUUGGGACAAAUAUAAACACACACAGGCAUUGCCUCUUAAGGAGGACUUCAGACAGUUUGCCCGGUCAAAUAACAGACCGGGUCUCCAGACUACAUGAAGAAGA